CCUACGGGUGGCAGCAGUGAGGAAUAUUGGUCAAUGGGAGAGAUCCUGAACCAGCCAAGCCGCGUGAGGGAAGACGGCCCUAUGGGUUGUAAACCUCUUUUGUCGGAGAACAAAACCCGGGACGUGUCCCGGACUGCGUGUAUCCGAAGAAAAAGCAUCGGCUAACUCCGUACCAGCAGCCGCGGUAAUACGGAGGAUGCGAGCGUUAUCCGGAUUUAUUGGGCGUAAAGCGUUCGUAGGCGGCAAGGUAAGUCUGAUGUUAAAGCCCGGGGCUCAACUCCGGUUCGGCAUUGGAUACUAUCUAGCUAGAAUGUGGUAGAGGUAAAGGGAAUUCCUGGUGUAGCGGUGAAAUGCGUAGAUAUCAGGAGGAACAUCGGUGGCGAAAGCGCUUUACUGGACCAUUAUUGACGCUGAGGAACGAAAGCCAGGGGAGCAAAUGGGAUUAGAUACCCUUGUAGUC
rnacentral:rRNA from 1 species